rnacentral:rRNA from 1 species
GUGUCAGCCGCCGCGGUAAUACGUAGGAGGCAAGCGUUGUCCGGAAUUACUGGGUGUAAAGCGCGUGUAGGCGGCAGGCCAAGUCUGUGGUGAAAUCGCCCGGCUCAACUGGGCGGGGUCCAUGGAAACUGGUCAGCUGGAGGACGGUAGAGGUGAGUGGAAUUCCCGGUGUAGUGGUGAAAUGCGUAGAGAUCGGGAGGAACACCCGUGGCGAAGGCGGCUCACUGGGCCGGUCCUGACGCUGAGACGCGAAGGCGUGGGGAGCGAACGGGAUUAGAUACCCCCGUAGUCC